rnacentral:lncRNA from 1 species
AAAGAUUCUGGCACAUUGUAGGUUUGUUGUCAUGAGUUUCAAAUAAUUUUUUGAUUUCUGCCUUAAUUUCAUUAUUUACCCAAAAGUCAUGCAGAAGCAGGCCAUCCAAUGUCUAUGCAAAUUGUAUGGCUUUGAGUGAAUUUUUUAGUCUUGAGUUCUAAUUUGAUUGUGCUGUGGUCUAACAGACUGUUUAUUUCCAGUUGUUUUGAAUUUGCUAACGAGUGUUUUAUUUCUAAUUAUUUUAUCAAUUUUAGAUGAAGUGCUAUGUGACAAUGAGAAGAAUGUAUAUUCUGUUGUGUUUUGAUGCAGAGUUCUGCAGAACUUAUCAGGUUGGACUCUGUGAAGCCUGCAGGCCAGAAUUGCUAAGGUGACAAAAAAGCAAAAAAAAAGUCAACUUCUCCUCUCUCUAGGAAGUCUGUCCCAGGAAGUUUUCAAACCUCUCUUGGCCAGAGAACAUCAGUGGGAGUGAUUGGAGGCCCUGGAUGGGAAGUCCCGCCAAGCUGGAACAGCUGAGCCAUCCAAACAGCAAGGAUGACAACCUUCCCUUUCUCCUAAGAACUCUGCCCCAUUCAAGCUUGGCCCAACACUGUUGCCAGGGGCUGGCUGGAAUUCCAAGCUGGUGAGUCUUAUCCUAUGAGGUGCCAUGAAAGUGGGGCCCACAGAAGGAUGCUGCUCAGCUUCCUGGAUUCAGCUCUCUUCCUAAGGUUAUGUACAAAAAUCUUAUCUCUCACUUUGCCUGAGUUGCAGCUACCUUUGCUGGUGAUCCUGGACCCAAAGUGUGCCAGCCUCUCCUGAUACUCUGUGUGUACCUGAGCAGCUAUUCUGCCAAGACUUCACACAGCUCUGUGCAUGAAACCCAAGGCCUUAGUGAAGUGGGAUCAUGAGGGGAUCUCCUAACUGGAGUGUUAAAAGAUCCUUAGGAGAAACAUUGAGUAUUAUUUCCCAGGGUGUACAUUCGCUCACCACUUCCCUGUGUUAGGGGAGGUUCACUUGGCCACUUGUUACUCAUGUUGUUGUUAUUGUUUAAGUAUUUAUUUAGAUGAUCCAUUAGAUGAUCCAUUAAAUGCCCAAAGUGGGGUUUUGAAGUCGACAAUUAUUAUUGUGUUGGGGUCUAUCUCUCUCGUUAGCUUAAUAAUCUUUUCUUUGUAAAUCUUGAUUCUCCAGCAUUGGGUGCAUGUAAAUUUAAAAUUGUUAUAUCUUUUUGCUGAAUUGAUCCCCUUAUCAUCAUUUAAUGGCCUCACUUUUGUCUCGAAAUCUAUUUUACCUGAUAUAAGUAUAGCUACUGCUCCUCUAUUUUGGUUUCCGUUGGCACAUAUUUGUGUCCUUAUAAGGUGAGGUAAAUUCUCUUGUAGACAGCAUGUAGUUGUCUUCCCUUUUCAUUUAUUCACCUACUCUACAUCUUUUGGUUAAAAAAUUUAGUUUAUUUACAUUCAUUAUUAUAGAUGAGCAGGGACUUACUACUGACGUUUAUUUGUAUUUUUUUAUUAGUCAUUUUUUUCUUCAUGUCGUUUUAUACAAGUGACUUUUUUUUCUGCUUCUAGGGUUUAAUUUCUUUAUUUUUAUAUAUUGUGUAUCAAUUAUAGGUUUUGUAUAUGUGCUUACUAGUUUGCUUACAUAUAACAUGUUAUAACCAAUUAUUUUAAAUAAAAACAACUAU